rnacentral:sRNA from 1 species
CUAUCCAAGAACGUGCCCACAAUAACAU